rnacentral:rRNA from 1 species
GACGGAGGGUGCAAGCGUUGUUCGGAAUUACUGGGCGUAAAGGGCGCGUAGGCGGUCUGUUAAGUUCGGUGUGAAAGUCCAGGGCUCAACCCUGGGAUGCCGGUGGAUACUGUCGGGCUCGAGUCCGGAAGAGGAGUGUGGAAUUCCUGGUGUAGCGGUGAAAUGCGCAGAUAUCAGGAGGAACACCAAUGGCGAAGGCAGCACUCUGGGACGUGACUGACGCUGAGACGCGAAAGCGUGGGGAGCAAACAGG